ACAGCAGUAGCCACGGUAAUACGAGGGGGGCAAGCGUUGUUUGGAAUUAUUGGGCGUAAAGGGUGCGUAGGCGGUUUGGCAAGUUUGGUGUGAAAUCUUCGGGCUCAACUCGAAGUCUGCAUCGAAAACUGCCGGGCUUGAGUAUGGGAGAGGUGAGUGGAAUUUCCGGUGUAGCGGUGAAAUGCGUAGAUAUCGGAAGGAACACCUGUGGCGAAAGCGGCUCACUGGACCAUAACUGACGCUGAUGCACGAAAGCUAGGGGAGCAAACAGGAUUAGAUACCCCAGUAGUCCCUGUCUCUUAUAC
rnacentral:rRNA from 1 species